AUGAAGCAAGAUGAGGGUAGAAACCACUGGCGAGUUCAUUUCAAUAGGACUGUUUGGUUUCUUCUGAAAGGAGUCCCUUUUGAUUUUGGCAACGCUGAAGAUUUAGCAACUGCUGUCAGUAAGUUUGGACGUAUGAUUUCCUGGGACAAGGAGGAUGAUCACAUGGGGCAUAUUGUUGUCAAAUCUAGGGUUAUGAAUCUGGCUAUUAUCCCCAAAAGUAUGAGAUGGUCAGAGGGGGAUGAGUUUGAAGAGGAUGGUUGUCCUUCUUCAAUAGAAGUGCUUGCUAGUGAACUCCUGGGUGGGGAACGAGCUGAUGAGGAUCCUAUUCCUCCUGACAAUCUGGACCCUCACCCUUUGCGUGAGAAUGCUGAGAUUGGAGUUGGUUUUCAUCAAGAUGCUCUCAACAACAACCAUCUAGAUGUUCAAGCAGAGGAUAACUGGGAACAAGAUGGAAACUGGGAUUUACAACAUCAAGAUAAGCAGAAUGAUGCUCUUGAUGACCUCCUGGAUGUGGUGCAGCAGGAGGAAAUGGCUUGGGCAUAUGGUGAAGAGCUGCUACCUGUUGUCAGCAGCAGUAGCUUAUCCUCUGACAUGUCCUUUUCUGAGGCAGAUAACUCAAAUUUCAUUGUGCCACCUGUUCUUGCUGAGGGUGCCCAAAUUAGGGGUAAGGUUGAUGUGUUGCCUCCUCCUCCUGUCAUUGUGAUUGCCAAUGGUCUUCAGAACAUUAUGCAAGCUUACCAAUCUGAUGAUGAUGAGCCUCAUAUGUUGUAA
rnacentral:rRNA from 1 species